GAUGAACGCUGGCGGCGUGCCUAAUACAUGCAAGUCGAACGAGGUGCUUUUGUAGCAAUACGAGAGUAUCCUAGUGGCGAACGGGUGAGUAACGCGUUGGUGACCUACCCCAAAGUGUGGGAUAACAGUCCGAAAGGAUUGCUAAUACCGCAUGUGGUCUUCGGAUUUAGAAACUGAUGACUAAAGGAGCAAUUCGCUUUGGGAGGGACCUGCGUCCCAUCAGCUAGUUGGUGAGGUAAUGGCUCACCAAGGCUACGACGGGUAGGGGACCUGAGAGGGUGACCCCCCACAAUGGAACUGAAACACGGUCCAUACACCUACGGGUGGCAGCAGUAGGGAAUAUUGCACAAAUGGGCGAAAGCCUGAUGCAGCAACGCCGCGUGUGCGAUGAAGGCCUUCGGGUCGUAAAGCACUUUCUGGGAGAUGAGCAAGGACAGUAUCUCAGGAAUAAGUCUCGGCUAACUACGUGCCAGCAGCCG
rnacentral:rRNA from 1 species